CUGGGUGUAGCGUAGUCUGGUAACGCACUAGCUUUGGGAGCUAGGGAUCCCAGGUUCAAAUCCUGGCACCCAGA
rnacentral:tRNA from 1 species